UGUCUUUGCUAGCAAAAUUGUCAAGGCCAGCUAAUUGAAAUUUUACGCUCUUGUUGAGUGAUUUGUUACAGUGAUAGUGAUAGUUCGUUUUAAGGUUAUUUACCCACGGAGAAGAUCGUCUUUCAGGCGGAAGCACAUACUGGAUAAUUUCUGAAAUAUUUGAAAAAUAUGUUUUUCUGCCAAAGAAAAAAAAACAUAAGUCUAUAUUAGAGUUGUUACACACACAUGCAGUUGAUUUCGUAAAUUUUCGAAAACAAGCAAUACAUUCAUGACAAACUGUUUUUCUCAUUAUGUAGGAGCUGCCAAAUGUUGAGCAUGGGCCAGAUUGACCAUGAUUGAGUCGUUUUGAAUCUCUAGUCGAAGUUUGCCUUUCAGCAGGAACCAUAAAGGUUUUACACACCCAUGCAGAGAAGAAUCUGAGGCUACAUUACAGAUUUUAAACUGACAUGCAGGUGACUUUAUGUUAUCGGAAAGAAGCCAAGUAAAAAAGAAGAACCUGAGGCUAUACUACAGGUUUUACACACACAUCGGGUGAUUUAAUGUUAUCGGAAAUAAGCCAAGUAAAAUCUAAUGAAAACUGUUGUCCAAUGAUAUAGGAGCUGUCAAAUUUUGAGCAUAACUUAAUGACGAAAUUCUUUAUAGUAACGCUCGAGUUAUUCUGGCUACGGAUAUAGUCAGCUUAGGACUCGUUAUUCCUACGUUACCGCUGAUCAUCGAUCACAAUCUUACAUCCGAAGUCUAACACCACAGAAAACGUGCCUCUUGCUAGAGACAUUGGUUCGGCGACGUUAAUCAACCCAACCAAAAUCACAAGAGCUCAACAAAUUCAACAUCACAGGAAAAGAAGUCAUCACAAUUUUAAGAAAGUGGCUAUUGGUGUCUGUGACGAAAAGACAACAGGAAAUCUAGUUGGGCCAGCCAGAUAUUCGUGUCAGGGGAAAAACGAAGCUUAUACGGUUCAACCUCAUCUGCCGCAAAUAUAACUUUUGAUUCGGAUUAACGCCUGUAACGUUGUCGAGAAAUACAAUUAUUAGA